ensembl:lncRNA
GUGUAGAUGUAUGUAGGUGUAUGUAGGUGUAGGUGUAUGUAGGUGUAUGUAGGUGUAGGUGUAUGUAGGUGUAGGUAGGUGUAGGUGUAUGUAAGUGUAGAUGUAGGUGUAUGUAGGUGUAGGUGUAUAUAGGUGUAGAUGUAUGUAGGUGUAUGUAGGUGUAGGUGUAUGUAGGUGUAUGUAGGUGUAGGUGUAUGUAGGUGUAGGUGUAUGUAGGUGUAUGUAAGUGUAGAUGUAUGUAGGUGUAGGUAAGUGUAGGUGUAUGUAGGUGUAGGUGUAUGUAAGUGUAGGUGUAUGUAGGUGUAUGUAGGUGUAGGUGUAUGUAGGUGUAUGUAGGUGUAGGUGUAUGAAG